CUCGAAAUCCUCUCCAGAAGAUUGUGGGACCCUCUGAAGAGCAGAGAGGAAAGAAAAGUGAAGUCCCAUUGCUUAAGCUCAGUGCUGCCUGUGCAGCCUUGGAUGCAACACAGUAUCUUUCUACUGCUAUAGUGUGGGAAACUGCAUGCAAAAGCUGUUCAUUGUGUGGAUAAAGUAUUGUAUACUCAAGGCCAUGAAGUCUUAUUAUUAACACUUUUCAGGUAAGGUUUAGCAUUCUAUGGUUUCUAGAUUAGCUAUAUGGAAUCUGAAGCUCAGAGAGACUAAGUAAUUUGACCGAGAUCUCCACUGGAGUUUCUGGCAUAGACAGAGAAAGCUGUUCUAUUGAAUUACAUGCCAGUAUCUUUGGAAUCAAUUGUCCCUGUGUAUAUUUUUAUAUGCCUAGUGCUGGGAACAGAGGCUAUUAAUAGCCUCACUACUGUAAAGUCAUGCAGACUUUAUAACUAUGCGACUAUAUUUCUCCACUAGGGAAUCCACUAACUUGUUUUGAAUCUGUUGCAUUGUUGUAGAGUUGCUGUCUGAUUACUGAGGGUGGGACGUUCAUUACGAUCUUAUCUUUAAACAAUAGCUGGCCAGGGUCUGGAACUUGGCAAAGGAAUACUAAUGAUGCAGAAUAGGAUAUCAGUGUUUUCUUAAUGGGAGAGAUACAGAGAUCUCUCUGAGGUGAUACACACACACACACACACACACACACACACACCUGCAACUGGACCUGAGAAAAGAACAAGAGAAGCAAGUCAGAAAAACUGCAAUUUGAGACUGAGAGGAGAGGGAAUGGACUGAAGGCAAAAGGGCAUAUGGGGAUGCUGGGGGGUCUGAUGUGGAGAAGGAUGAACAAAUCAGUCAAUGUCCCUUUGUUUCCCUUGGUUUUCUGAUCUUCAGUUAACAAAUCCACAUGAAAAUCCACUAGCAUUUUGGUGACAAUUUCUUCUAAUAUGCACAUUUUCCUAUGCAAUUUUGCCUGAUACACACACUUUUGUGAGCAAUAUCCCCCCAGUACAGUGCAUUUGGUUAUGUGAUUUUUCACUAAUAUAUGCAUUCUUAUGCACGCUUUCCCCUAAUGUGCACAUUUUUGCACAGAUGUGGUGAUUGAGGAGUGGGGAUUUCCAAGGGUAGUUGUGCUUCAGUUUGUGCAUUGUUUCAGAAGGCAGGUUUGGAUUAAAAUGUGAACGAAACUGAAUUUCUCCCCUUGGUGCAAAGCAGUGGAUUUACUGCUUGUAGGAGAACUAUGCUUGUCUCAGCCUACAGUGGUACCUCAGGUUACAGGCGCUUCAGGUUACAGACAACGCUAACCCAGAAAUAGUACCUCGAGUUAAGAACUUUGCUUCAGGAUGAGAACAGAAACCACGCGGUGGCAGCAUGGCAGCAGCGGGAGGCCCCAUUAGCUAAAGUGGUACCUCAGGUUAAGAACAGUUUCAGGUUAAGAACGGACCUCCAGAACGAAUUAAGUUCUUAACCCGAGGUACCACUGUAUUCUCAGCCUGUUUGUGUGUGAAUGAAUCCAAAUACAAUAUGCCUCCUGUGAUCCCUCCUACCAAAGGAAACCUAAACUGUCCCUAAGCUUUUCUCUGCUCAGGAAAGUCAGAUGGGCAUAACAGUAUCAAUAUUUCUGCCUCGUGAAUUUUACUGCAUGAGAACAUAGGAAGACUUUGCUGGAUGAGGCCAAUGGCCCAUCUGGUCCAGUAUCUCAUUCUUACAUAGGCCACUCAGAUGCCCACAGGAAGCAUAGUUAGCAAAUCCUUCUUCUUCUUCUUUUUGUCUUGGAUAUAUCUCCCAUAAAAGCUCCUGCGUAUCCUCAUUUUUUGCCCAUGAUUUGUUCCUCUCCCCAGCCUCUGACAGCUCACUUCUGUUCCAAGCCCUCUACAGCAGCUCUCGAGUGACAACUUUUGACUCUCUGGAAUUGUGCCUGUUAUCAGUAGCCAUCCACACACCAGCC